UGCACAGUAUGUCUAAGAAAAACAUCUACAUUUUCCUGGAAGGCAUUAAAAUUCUCUCAUUUGAAAAGUAAUCAUUUGAGAGUCUUAGGGGACUUUGAUGAUGUGUCAUAAGACAGGCUGCAGCAUCCAGGGCACAAAGAACGUAAAAGCCUAGUGUGGACUUUGAGAAGGGUAUGACGUGAGAAGACAUUCGCUGCACUCUGGUACUGCUGAGACAUCCUGACAAGAGUUACAGGGUUCCAAACAGACUUGGAUGGUGACAUCAGAAGUGGCAACAUGUUUCUUCAAUGAUGGACUUCAAUGACUAUUAAUUGCAGCCUGCCAUAACUGCAGGACCUGGAGAAGGCAGACCCCUGUGGGUUAACAUAUCUGCAUCACUUUGGCUACAAUACAGUUACAGCUUUCUACAUAUGCCAUGACCUGAACAGUAUUGGGAGACUUGCCUGUUAUUCUUUCAGCAAACCAGUUACAACUGGAAUUUAUAAAAUGGAAUUGGAUUGGCUAAGACAAUGACAUUUCUUAUCUAUUGCCUCAGAAAAGCAAGUCAUCACUUCUCUUGUUUAACUAGGUGUUUCACAAAGCCACAAGGAAUAUAGUUCUUUAGUUGGAAAUGGUAUUUUCUCCAUCUACAAGAUGUGGAAAAUAGUAUACACAUAGUAUGUUUGACUCUGUAAAACUGACGUCAGAAUUCCAGAAGAUCCUUCGUCCUCUAGAGAAAUGAGUCAACAAAGGGAAUUUGAGGAAGGGGGUAGUGCUGGAAAACUGAAGCAGGAGAGACUUGAUAAGUGAUUGAGCAAAGGAGCUGUCAAUUAUUUCUGUUCAGCAAAUCAGUUCCCAGCAAAUUAGCCCACAACAAAUUAGACCACAAGAAACAAGACCCCCAAAGGGUGGUUCUAAAGGAAGCCCAAGGCUUGAAAGGAGGGAAUGUAAGGCAAGCAGACCCUAGUGAAAGAUGUGGCUGUCGUGGAGGCCAGACCCAACUGCCAUGUUAGGCUGAUGGAUGAGGACCAAAGGCUUUGGAGAAAGGUAGAGUCAGUUUUCAUUUCUGGCUGGUUGUCGGUUCCUCAGCCAAACAAAAACUGCAAGAAAGUAAAACAAGCAGAGAGAAAAGGAUCAAGACCAGAGGUAGAAUUUGGAACCAUGCAAAAUACCAGGAGAGAUGUAAAAGGAGAGGCUUGCCCCAAAGCCCAGAGAUAGAAAGUGUCCCUCUCACCUAAAGGACCAGAAGAAGGUGGGCCUGGCAGGCCCAGUCCAGAGGAAAUGGACGAGAGCCCCCUUGCUGGUGCAAAGGAUGUGGAGAAGGUUCCCGGCAGGAUGGAAUUCUUACCUGACUUGCAGCUGGACCAACCCAAGCCUGUGGUGGGUUUUAAGCCUUUGCCAUUUAUCCAGGUCAUAACGAGGAUAAAAGGUCAAGGAAGGGUCCAGUGGGAUGAAGAAUGAGAGGAGGAGGACAGAAAGCAGUCACAUACUCCUGGCUGCACUUUCCCUUCCAUAAAACAAACUUAUAUCAUCUCCACCUCAUAGGGGUAAAAUCCUAUGACUCUCAAACAAGUUUCUUGCAAAGAACAUGUAAAAUAAGUAUUUUUGUAGGUAGCAAUAGUUAUAGAAAAUUUUUUCAUGUUCAACUUUUGCCUAAGUGUAGGCUCUGGCUCCCUUCUCGCUGGCUGCUACAGCCACCUGCAGAAGCCCAGAGCAGGAGCCUACCUUCCUAUUAAAUGACAAAUGGAACUGCUCCUUUUGGCGACCAGCAACCAGGAGAUACCAGGGAUGGGUGAGUGCAUCUACCUAGUUGUUCACCUCUCCUAGCACAAACAGAGGAUGUGGGGAAACAGUGGGAGAGUGAACACUUUGACAAGAAAGGGAGCAUUUUGGAGGAAUAUUUACUGGGGAAAUUUCUCUCUUUACCUAAGUACAGUGUUCAGGAAUCUCUGUGUUGCAAAUAGGGACAGCAGCUGAGAUUCAUGUGCCUCCUGGGUAUGUGGCCACCAGUGACCACCUCAGAAGGCCUCAGGUGCCGCCUAGGAUCAGCCCUGCCUGUGCAGUCCACAGCCUGUUACUCCAGUUCGUGAACCGAACUCAUCUUGGCCAGGGCUAUCCACCAACUCCUAAGGUUUGAAAUGCAAUGCUGAGCUUUUUGGGUAAAAACAAGCCCUUUCUUUUUCUCACACGUCAUUUGCUUUGGUAGGGCUCCCAGGAUUGAAUGUUUUGUAUCUGCCAUUUCUCUGCAGCUCAGCUAUUCCCUGCUGUUAUCUUUGGCUCUGUUGCUAUGGGCGGGAAUAUUUUUUUGUCCUGGCUUAAUAACUCCUUGGCUGCCAGCAGUGCUCAUUUCUCAUUGUAUUGGUGGAGGAUUAGUGUAGAUGUUUGGGAGAUAUUUCCUGUAUUAAGCAGCAGGGGAGAGCUUGCUGGACCUGGGCCUUCUUUUGACAUUGAAUCACACUUUUUUUCCCUCACUUUAACUCUUGGAAUGUGCUGAGGCCAGUCGUUUGCACUCAGAGCAGCUACUCCUCCCUGGCAUUUUGCAGCUCUGCAGCUCUUCUCCAGGUGCCCUUCCAUCGAUGCUUCUUGGGGAGGCUGCAGUGAGUCUCAAGCAAUCACCUUGGCUGGGUUUUUGUCUUUGUCUUUUCUCUUUUUUUACAUUUGGGGCUUAAUAGUAUACUGCAUCACCAAUUCACUUUCCAGGGUUAAUUGACUUUAAGCCCAUUUCAUACUUCAAAUUCUUUGACCAUUAACUCACCACCUUUCUCUUGGAGCUACCAGCCUCUCCACAGCUAACUUGAACCAAGUAAUCUGUGAUGCCUAAGGAUCCUGGGAUAUAUGUUUGCACUCUGUUUGCAACUAUAAAUUAACUGCUUAUAGAGUUUUAGUACCCUCGUGUCUGCCUAAAACAAUUCUCAAACAAUAGAAAGAAGCUAUUAAUAAAAGUUGCCAAAGGAGAAUAAAAAUCAAUGACAUUUUAGUCCAUACUGGAUUGAGAUAAAGAAGAAUGAAUGCUGAAACUGGCUGGAAAUCUUUGUUAGAGUCGGGUGGCAUCACAGUGAAAAUUACAUAGGGUUUGGAGUUUGAGGCCACUGCUUAAAGCUCUGGGAACCUGGGUGAGUCACUUCCCUUCUCUUUUUCAUAAUUUAUUUCUCUGUGCUAUGGAGAUGAUUGACUCAUAAAGUUGUGGUAAGGGAUAUUUAUGAGAAUACCUCAAAAACUAUAAACACCAGAGUAUUAACAUUAGAUAAGAAUGUAUGUGAAAAUAUUUGCAAACUGCAAAGAACUACACAAGUGCAAAGAGCUAUAGAUCACAGCAAAGCUUAAUAAAAACUUUAACAUACUUCAGAGUGUUGAGACAACCAUUUUCUCCUUGCAUAACUAUUUAUCCUUCUUUUACAGUCUGACUUAAAUCCCUUUCCUAGGUAGAAGGAAUUCAUUACCACAUAGAGCUCACCUCCUGCCUUCCAGACAUCCUGUCCCAGCCCAGAGAACCCAGUGAGGUCACUUUGACCCAGACUCAGCCAACUAGAUACAGUACUCCUGUCCCUGUCAUGAGGAAGAGACUGCACUACAUCCCUCUGGCUGCAAGAGGACAGAGGGACCACUAGGUCUGGUUUCAGGACUCAGCCAUGAUAGCAGCUACAGAGGCUGUUUCCCCUGCUGCCUAUGGCUGGUGUGGCCGAUACAAGUGCUGGGUAGCAGUCAUGCCUUCCAUCUACAGACGAUGUGGGGUGUUAUUCCUGACUAUCUUACCUCAUAGAUUCCCUAAGCUACCCAAUAUCCCACAGAGAAUUUUCUAAGGGAAAAUUCAAACAUACAGAACACUGAAAGGAAUAGCAUCAGGAAUGUCUAGUGACCUAUCCCAACCCACUUGAAAAACUGUCAACAUUUGGCCAAUCAGUGCACUGUUUUUUGCUCCUACCCUCAUACCUUAUUUUUAUUUUUUUAGUGUUUGCUCAUUUGUUUGUUUUAGUUGAAGUAUUUUAAAGUACAAGUUAUGUUAUUUGACCUAUAAAUAUCUUACUGUGCACUUCUAACCAAUAAGGACUAUUUUUUAAUGUAAGUAUAAUUCUAUUUUCCACCCAGUGGAUCAACAAUAAUGCCAAGAUCAUUUUUGCUCAGAUCAGCAAGAAAUGUUUUGUGUUUCUUAUGAGACCCUGUCUAACACACUUGCUCUCUUUCUCAGUUCCACCAUCUUGGUCCAUAAAGUGGAAACUGAAACCUGUGAAAGUAUUGAGAAAAUGGCUGCCAUUCCUAUCCCUGCCCUUACUUUGUGGAGGAACAACAUACCUGAUCGGUGAAUUGGAAAUAAAGAGAUUCCUUGUGUGGUACUCCGUCUCUCAGGGGUCUGUCUUCAGACCAGCUGUAUUCCACCCAGCCCCAACUUCCAUUGCUGAGGCCAUGGGCAGGCCCAGGCCCACCUUGCUUUUCUUGGAGAAAGUGAUAGUGAUUCCAGAC